rnacentral:rRNA from 1 species
AUUGAACGCUGGCGGCGGGCCUAACACAUGCAAGUCGAGCGAGCGGCGGACGGGUGAGUAGUGUAUGGAGACUGCCCGAUAGAGGGGGAUAACUACUGGAAACGGUGGCUAAUACCGCAUACGGUCGGAUGACCCAUAUGGGAUUAGCUAGUAGGUGGGGUAAAGGCUCACCUAGGCGACGAUCUCUAGCAGGUCCGAGAGGAUGAUCAGCCACACUGGGACUGAGACACGGCCCAGACUCCUACGGAGGCAGCAGUGGGGAAUAUUGCACAAUGGGCGAAAGCCUGAUGCAGCCACGCCGCGUGUGUGAAGAAGGCCUUAGGGUUGUAAAGUACUUUCAGCGGGGAGGCGUUACCUGCAGAAGAAGCCCCGGCUAACUCCGUGCCAGCAGCCGCGGUAAUAC